rnacentral:rRNA from 1 species
GAGCGGUAACAGGUGUAGCAAUACAUGCUGACGAGCGGCGAACGGGUGAGUAAUGCUUCGGAAUCUGCCCAAUGGUGGGGAAUAACCAGCCGAAAGGUUGGCUAAUACCGGAUGAGCCCUACGGGGGAAAGAUUUAUCGCCGAAGGAGCGGCCCGCGUCGGAUUAGCUAGUUGGUGGGGUAAAGGCCCACCAAGGCUACGAUCCGUAGCUGGUCUGAGAGGAUGAUCAGCCACACUGGGACUGAGACACGGCCCAGACUCCUACGGGAGGCAGCAGUGGGGAAUCUUGCGCAAUGGGCGAAAGCCUGACGCAGCCAUGCCGCGUGGAUGAUGAAGGUCUUAGGAUUGUAAAAUCCUUUCACCNGGGGACGAUAAUGACGGUACCCGGAGAAGAAGCCCCGGCUAACUUCGUGCCAGCAGCCGCGGUAAU